AUUACUUAGCCUUUAACCAGUAUUACUUUCUAAAUUUUCAUAAAAAUUGAUGCAGUGUUUUUUUCAAAUACAGAUUUUUAAUUUUUCACACAGGUGAUAUAAUGGUUUUAUGAUACUUUGAUGGAAUUUGAUUUUAAAUAAAUAAUGAUAUUUUAAUUUAUGAGCUUCUUUAUCCUCAAUAACUUAUUGCUUUUCAUGACUCCAAAAAAUAAUAUUUUGUUAAAACCAGGAUAUCUAAAAAAAAGGACUUACUCUACUCUGGACCCUUGCGUAAAGCCUAAAGUAAAUCUAGAUCAGAACUAGAUUCUUCAGUUGCCGGUGACCACUAACCCUCACCUUACUCCCAUCCCCCACAGCCCGGUUUGUGUGCAGGAGCCAUCUUGUCAUUAUUUCCACCAUAUAUUGAAUUCUGAAAGCACAGUUACCCUAAAACACAGUUCAUGAAAUCACUCAGCUGCAGAGACGAGUAAUCAAGGAGUAAUCUACUCAGAUAUCAACCCGGCCAAAUACCCAAAGAGGCAGCAAUUCAAACCUGAGAGCAAAAAUAGCUCCAUUUCAGACACUGAGCAGGACAUAACCUACGUGGAAUUAAACCUUCAUAAUGCGUCUCAGGAUCUUCAAGGAAAUGACAAGAAACCCCAUUGCAAAGUUUUCCCAUCACCUCCAGGGAGGCUCGCUGCUAUGACACUGGGAAUCAUCUGCUUUGUCCUGAUGGCCAGUGUACUAACCAUGACAGUCGCAGUUGUCACUCCCCAUAAGUUUUUGAAAGGACAUUGUCAUCGUUGUCCAAAGGCCUGGUUUAUCUAUUCCAACAACUGUUAUUACAUUAGUAAUGAAAGAAAAUCAUGGAGUGAGAGUCGGAUGGCCUGUGCUUCUAAUGCAUCUAAUCUGCUUCACAGAGAUAAUGAAGAAGACAUGGUAAGAUUUUUAAGUUAUUCAAACAUUUUAUUGAGAGCUUAUUUCAGUCAAUAUUAUGUUUGUAGGAUUCAUGCACAUUUUAGUAUAUAGUUGUAGUUUAAUUUCAAGGCUGUUUAAUAUUCCUUUAAUUAAUUUUACAAUAUUUUAUUUAUAUUAUUAGGCUAUUAAUGCACAUUUGCUUAUUUAGUCCUCUUUCUUAUGAAAAACACUUGUGUAAAUGCUUUUCUUCUAAAAUAAACUUUGUUAUUUUUACCUUAUCAUAUGUAAAAAAAUAAAUAAAAUAAACAUAUAAUUGUGCAGACUGAUCAGAAAUACAACCUUUUGCCAUCAAGUUGGUUCCAAUUCAUAGUUACCCUAGAACCUACCUCUACGGUUUCCAAGGCUGUAAAUCUUUAUGGAAGCUGAUUGCCACAUCAUUUCUCCCACAGAGUAGGCUGGUGGGUUCUAACUGCUGAUCUUUUGAUUAUAAGCCUAGAGCUUAACCUCUGUGCCACAAGGGCUCCUAGAAGGUGAAUGACCUAUGUAUUUAAAAAAUACCUGGUCCCUUAGUAAAGUGCCCUGGUGGUGCAGUGUUUAAGCACUCCACUACUAUCCAAAUAAUCAACAAUUCAGCCUUACUCUGAAAGAAAGGCCUAGCAGUCUAUCUGUAUGUGAACCACAGUCUCCACCAGCCUGAGCCCAGAAGAACUAAAUGGUGCCCAGCUACCACCACCAACUGCUCUGAAAGGGAUCGCAAUAGAGGGUUCUGAACAGAGCAGGACAAAAAUGUAGAACAAAAUUCAAAUUCACAGAAAAAGACCAGACUCACUGGUCUGAGAGAGACUGGAGGAACCUCUGAGACUGUGGCCCCAGGACAUAGUGCUAACUCAGAACUAAAGCCACUCCCGAAGUCCACCUUUCAGCUAAAGAUUAACCCGUUGCCGUUGAGUUGGUUGCGACUCAUAAGAACCCUAUAAAACAAACAGCACAAGUGAGGAAUGUGCUUCUUAGUUCAAUCAAGUAUACGAGACCAUAUGGACACCACUUGCCCAAAGGCAAAGACUAGAAGGCAAGAAGGAACAGGAAACCUGGACAAAUGAACACAGGGUACUCAGGGUUUAAAGAGAAAGGGGAAGAGUGCUGACACAUUGCUGGGAUUGCAACCAAUGUCACAAAACAAUUUGUGUAUGAAUUUUUUAAUGAAAAGCUAAUUUGUGCUGUAAACAUUCAUUUAAAACACAAUAAAAUUAAAAAUAAUAAUUAAAAAAAAGAAAAGAAAAGAUUGGAGACAGCCAAGAAAGCCUGUGGAGCUCAGUUGUAGUCUGUAAAACGUGAGGUUGCCAUGAGUCAGAAUCAAUUCUAUGACAACAAAUUUGUUUUUUUUUUUGUUUUGUUUAUUUACAAAUAAGUUUUAGAAAUAGUCUUUCUUGCCCCUUAGUAGCCCUGUCCCUGUGUCUGCUCUCAAUACUUUUCUCUCCUCCCUAAAGCACUAUUAUGAUUUUUAGUAUAAUAGAUUAGGUUUGAUUGUUUUUGAAUUUUGUAUAAAUGAAAUCAUACAAUAUGCAUUUUCUUUUUGGUCUGUUUCAUUUCACUCAUGUAAGACAUUCAUGUAAUCCAUCUAUAUUGUUGAAGUUAACUGUAGUUUGCUAAUUUUUAGUGGUAAUUUUUUUUUAUUAUGUGAAUAUAAUAUUUUGUAAUCCAUUUUACCAUGUAUAUGGAAUUUGGAUUACCUCUAGCACUUGCGUGUUAUGAAUAAUUAAUUAUUCUUUGUACAUCCUUGUGUAUGUAUUUUAUCCUGUGGGCUUUUAUCCUCACCUCUCACCUGCCGUCUAAU